AGAAUUGACGGGGCCCCGCACAAGCGGUGGAGCAUGUGGUAUAAUGAGAUGCAACGAGAAGCACCUUCCCUGCCCUUCACAUGUCUGGAAUCCUGAAGAGAUGCGUGAGUCCCUUCGGGAAUCAGAACACAGGUGGCACAUGGCUGUUGUCAGCUUGUGUUGUGAGAUGUUGGGAUAAGUCCCGCAACGAGCGCAACCCCUUUCCUUUGUUCCCAGCACAUAAUGGUGGGAACUCAAGGGAGACCCCCGGUGAUAAACCGGAGGAAGGUGGGGAUGAUGUCAAGUUAUCAUGCCCCUUAUGGCCAGGGUCACACACGUGACACAAUGGCGCGCACAGAGGGCUGCAAGCUAGCGAUAGUGAGCGAAUCCCAAAAAGCGCGUCGUAGUCCGGAUCGUAGUCAGCAACUCCCCUCCGUGAAGUCGUAAUCGCUAGUAAUAGCUAAUCAGAAUGUUGCGGUGAAUAUUUUCCCGGGCCUUGCACACACCGCCGCGUCAACCCCA
rnacentral:rRNA from 1 species